rnacentral:misc_RNA from 1 species
CUCAGGAGCACUAGCAGCCACAAAAUUCCAAUGACCCUUUAGAAUUUCCAUUGGCUUCCUUCAGAGCAUGCGGCCGUGGUAUGCUGCCAGCCCACCUGCCAAACCUGGUUCAGACUUUCUUUCUUCUCCGGCACCUUCACCGUCACAAAUAUACUUCGCACUCAGAUCCCACACAUCAAACGAUAGCUUGGAUACCUGAGGUGGUGUAUAGCUGCUAAUGUUGUCAGUGUUGACGAUCGUUGAGCCGUUGGAUUUGUUUGCUAUAAAAGCCUGAGAACCCUACAUGCCAGUGGCCGUUGGGUUGAUCGCCCAUGCAACCGGGCAGUCAGGUUUGGCAGGAGGAGCGAUGAAGAGAGGAAUUGGAAGAAUUGUAGGUGAAAUGUAGGUAGGAAUCCAGGACAGGAAGAUCAGUACAAUUUGCAAGGAGUUUGUUGCUUCUGAAUUUUUGAGAGGUGCAUUCAGGGAUUCUGAGGGAGAGAAUAGCAGGGUUGCAGAGAACAAAACAACCGAGGACAGAUUAGGGAAGCUAACAGAAGCCAUAAUCUUGGAUUCUGAUUUGAUUUUGUAUUUGGACUGGAAAAAGGUUUUGGGAUGGUUUAGGAAAAAUUCAACACACAACCUGCAGGCAUUUCCAAUCUUGACCAAAGGUAGCACCUACUAACAGAUUUGAAAUUGAAUUAUUUUUUCAUUAGUUUUUCAGAGUUUACCAUGAUAUUCCAAUUAUGCAUGGUUGGCAAGCCUGAGAAUUGGUGUAAUGAAGGAUAAAUUUAAUUGAAUUUAACAUCAUGGUUAGGUGGGUAUUUCUUUCUUUCUUUUUUUGUUCGUUUUA